rnacentral:rRNA from 1 species
AGAGUUUGAUCAUGGCUCAGGAUGAACGCUGGCGGCGUGCCUAACACAUGCAAGUCGAACGAGUCUGAUUCUUCGGAAAAAGGCUAGUGGCGCACGGGUGAGUAAUACGUAGGUGACCUGCCCCGAAGUGGGGGAUAACUUCUCGAAAGAGAGGCUAAUACCGCAUAUGCUCGGCCAUUCAGUUGGUUGAGUAAAGUCGUGAGACGCUUCGGGAGGGGCCUGCGUCCGAUUAGCUUGUUGGUGGGGUAAUGGCCUACCAAGGCGAUGAUCGGUAGCUGGUCUGAGAGGACGAUCAGCCACACUGGCACUGACACACGGGCCAGACUCCUACGGGAGGCAGCAGUGAGGAAUAUUGGUCAAUGGGCGAAAGCCUGAACCAGCAACGCCGCGUGAGGGAUGAAGGCCUUCGGGUUGUAAACCUCUUUUCUGGGAGAAGAGACAAGGACGGUAUCCCAGGAAUAAGUCUCGGCUAACUACGUGCCAGCAGCCGCGAUAAAACGUAGGAGGCUAGCGUUAUCCGGAUUUACUGGGCGUAAAGCGCACGCAGGCGGUUGCGUAAGUCGGACGUGAAAGCUCCUGGCUCAACUGGGAGAGGUCGUUCGAUACUGCGUAACUUGAGGUUGGGAGAGGAGAGCGGAAUUCCCGGUGUAGUGGUGGAAUGCGUAGAUAUCGGGAGGAACACCAGUGGCGAAAGCGGCUCUCUGGCCCACACCUGACGCUCAGGUGCGAAAGCGUGGGUAGCGAACGGGAUUAGAUACCCCGGUAGUCCACGC